rnacentral:rRNA from 1 species
CCUACGGGGGGCUGCAGUGGGGAAUAUUGGACAAUGGGCGAAAGCCUGAUCCAGCCAUGCCGCGUGUGUGAAGAAGGCCUUCGGGUUGUAAAGCACUUUCAGUGGGGAAGAAAGCCUUGGGGCUAAUACCCUAGAGGAAGGACAUCACCCACAGAAGAAGCACCGGCUAACUCCGUGCCAGCAGCCGCGGUAAUACGGAGGGUGCGAGCGUUAAUCGGAAUUACUGGGCGUAAAGCGCGCGUAGGCGGUCUGAUAAGCCGGUUGUGAAAGCCCCGGGCUCAACCUGGGAACGGCAUCCGGAACUGUCAGGCUAGAGUGCAGGAGAGGAAGGUAGAAUUCCCGGUGUAGCGGUGAAAUGCGUAGAGAUCGGGAGGAAUACCAGUGGCGAAGGCGGCCUUCUGGACUGACACUGACGCUGAGGUGCGAAAGCGUGGGUAGCAAACAGGAUUAGAUACCCGGGUAGUC